AACAUGAUGACAGAGCUGCUAGUUCAACUCUCCUUUCCUUUCCUAGGAAAUACUAACUGACAGCUGAUCUUCAGCCCAAAAAGGAUCAAGCAGGAAUUGGUUUUUCCAGAGAUCCAGAGCUCCACAGAUACCAUCAUGGACCUAGAUAUAGGUGCCAUGGGCUUUCUGGCAUGAGGAGACCACAAAACUGCCCCAGAUGUUCAAUUUGCACUGAUGGCACCUUUACUUCAUAUUGAUGAAUAAAUACCAGAGGAAUUUCAGAGGGGCCACUACAGCCACCAUUGUGAAGCCCUUGUUGUUUCAAGGGGCCUUUUCCCUCCUUCCUGCAGAAAUCUCUUAGAUCCCUUCCAGUGCUCCAGCCAACUCUACUCAGUGGAUCUGCUUUUUUCCUCUACUCCUUCAGUGGCUGCUUCUCUCUCAGUUGACGUUGUGGAGGGGCUGUGGCCCCUUCAGCAGGUGUGCCCUGACUUCCUUCCUCUUGGCUCAUCAGCCUGAAUGGAAACUGUAAACCAACAGUCCUGCUCUCAUGCUCUGCUUCACACAAAAGGUCCUGUGGGCAGAUAGGAUUGAAAAGAGAUUCUGCCACAGGAC